rnacentral:rRNA from 1 species
UUUCUGAUACCAGAGGUAAUGAUUAAUAGGGACAACUGGGGGCAUUCGUAUUGCGACGUUAGAGGUGAAAUUCUUGGAUCGUCGCAAGACGGACUAAAGCGAAAGCAUUUGCCAAAGGUGUUUUCAUUAAUCAAGAACGAAAGUUAGAGGUUCGAAGGCGAUUAGAUACCGCUGUAGUUCUAACCAUAAAUGAUGCCAGCCAGCGAUCCGCCGAAGUUUCAUAAUUUUA